rnacentral:piRNA from 1 species
UGCUUGGGAUAGGAGAGCCAGAACGC